GAUGACAAUAGGAUUUACUGAUGUGUGCCAUAGCGAAAGGCAGAUGAUCUGGUAAAAGUAUAGUAAAUGUAUUCACGAGUAAGUCCUCCGCCCCAUAUGUGCAAUAGGUUGGUCGAUUCUGUUUCAAGGAAAGGCUUAGUAGAGAGUGACACCACUGGGUGACAUGAUGUAGGGAGUCCGUCUUGACAUAAAACAAGGUUGUGCCACUCAGGGAAAACCUGGAAAACUCAAGGAAUUCGGAAAUGUCAACUUGGUAGACACCCUGGAGGAUGCUGCCUCUUCGUUGGACAUUGAGAGCAACGAAGACACAAGCCAGCCCCGAAUAUCGGCGGCCGCAGCCUGGCACGCCAAACUGUAGUGCUUGCACUAAAAUUUUUCAAGUGGGAAAGCUGCUGAAUGAAAAAUAGAUUUUUUGGGAUAUCUAGUGCCUAUUAGACGGCAAUAUAUUUUGCAAUUCUCAUAACUUGUUACGUUUUUUCUUAGUAGAUACAAGCAUUUCUUCACAAACAUUGUUAAAUUUUAUCCCGCAAUCUUGAUUUUAGCAAUGUAUACCUCUUUUACCACAUACAUCUCGUUAAUAAUUGUAAUUUUCAAGGAGACAUAUGUCGCCUUGAAGAAGACAAGUCCACUUGUCGAAAGGUUGGCUCCCGUCUUCACCUUGUUCUUGUUUUCUUCAUCGUCUUGGAUUUCCACCUCCCGCCUUCCCCUUGUUUUCCCUGUAUCUCGUUAAUAAAGCUUUUAUGCGUGAAAAGUGCA